rnacentral:ncRNA from 1 species
CAAGGGGAAGCCGAAAACCUAAAAAGAGUAGGCA